CCUACGGGAGGCAGCAGUGGGGAAUCUUGCGCAAUGGGCGAAAGCCUGACGCAGCGACGCCGCGUGCGGGAAGAAGGCCUUCGGGUUGUAAACCGCUUUCAGGAGGGACGAAGCCACUCGGGUUAAUAGCCCAGAGGGUGACGGUACCUUCAGAAGAAGCCCCGGCUAACUACGUGCCAGCAGCCGCGGUAAU
rnacentral:rRNA from 1 species